rnacentral:rRNA from 1 species
AACGAACGCUGGCGGCAUGCCUAACACAUGCAAGUCGAACGAGAGCAUCGUGAGUGGUUGCUCUCGGGGGCGUCGCGCGUGGGAACCGGCCGUUAGACUUGGAAUAACUCCCCGACGGGGGGGCUAAUGUCGGGAAAUGUCCGUGGAUCCAAGAUUUAUCUACUUUGUAUGGGCCCGCGUUGGUUUAGCUUGUUGCUAUGGUAAAAGCCUACCACGGAUAGGAUCCAUAGCUGGUCUGAGAGGAUGAGCAGCCACACUGGGACUGAGCCACGGCCCAGACUCCUACGCGAGGCAGCAGUGGCGAAUAUAGGACAAUCGGCGAAAGCCUGAUGCACCAAUGCCGCGUGAGUGAUUAAGUCCUUAGGGUUGUAAAGCUCGUUUACCCGCGACUAUAAUGACAGUACCGAGAGAAUAAGCACCGGCUAACUCCGUG